UACGAAGGGGGCUAGCGUUGCUCGGAAUUACUGGGCGUAAAGCGCACGUAGGCGGCUUUCUAAGUCGGGGGUGAAAUCCUGGAGCUCAACUCCAGAACUGCCCUCGAUACUGGAAAGCUCGAGUCCGGGAGAGGUGAGUGGAACUGCGAGUGUAGAGGUGAAAUUCGUAGAUAUUCGCAAGAACACCAGUGGCGAAGGCGGCUCACUGGCCCGGUACUGACGCUGAGGUGCGAAAGCCAGGGGAGCGAACGGG
rnacentral:rRNA from 1 species